UACGAAGGGGGCGAGCGUUGUUCGGAUUUACUGGGCGUAAAGGGCGCGUAGGCGGCCCUCCUUGUCGCGUGUGAAAGCCCUGGGCUCAACCUGGGAAUGGCAGUGGAUACUGGCAAGCUAGAGUGCGGUAGAGGGUAGUGGAAUUCCCGGUGUAGCAGUGAAAUGCGUAGAGAUCGGGAGGAGCACCAGUGGCGAAGGCGGCUACCUGGACAAGCACUGACACUGAGGCACGAAAGCGUGGGGAGCAAACAGG
rnacentral:rRNA from 1 species